AGGCCGAUGAUGAUUAGUUUACAAUUGGAAUUACCGUCUGAAAUUCUUUGAUGUGAAUUUACUGGCUUUCCUGAGGCUUCUU